rnacentral:rRNA from 1 species
GACGAACGCUGGCGGCGUGCUUAACACAUGCAAGUCGAACGGAAAGGCCCUGCUUUUGUGGGGUGCUCGAGUGGCGAACGGGUGAGUAACACGUGAGUAACCUGCCCUUGACUUUGGGAUGACUUCAGGAAACUGGGGCUAAUACCGGAUAGGAGCUCCUGCUGCAUGGUGGGGGUUGGAAAGUUUCGGCGGUUGGGGAUGGACUCGCGGCUUAUCAGCUUGUUGGUGGGGUAGUGGCUUACCAAGGCUUUGACGGGUAGCCGGCCUGAGAGGGUGACCGGCCACAGUGGGACUGAGAUACGGCCCAGACUCCUACGGGAGGCAGCAGUGGGGAAUAUUGCACAAUGGGCGGAAGCCUGAUGCAGCAACGCCGCGUGCGGGAUGACGGCCUUCGGGUUGUAAACCGCUUUCGCCUGUGACGAAGCGUGAGUGACGGUAAUGGGUAAAGAAGCACCGGCUAACUACGUGCCAGCCGCCGCCGUAA